GCCCCCGUGGUUUAGUGGUUAGAACUUCCGCCUUGGAUGCGGGAGGUAAUGGGUUCAAUCCCCGGUCGAGUCA